rnacentral:sRNA from 1 species
GAAGUGGAUGUGCACGUCGAUGCCGCCCGGCGUGACGAUCAGUCCUUCGGCGCAGACUUCUUCGGUUGCAACGCCGACUACCAGUCCCGGCGUGAUGUCCAUGGUGUCUGGGUUCCCGGAUUUGCCGAUGCCCACGACGACGCCGUCUUUGAUGCCGAUGUCGCACUUGACGAUGCCGAUGGUCGGGUCGAUCAGCGUAGCGUUCGUGACGACGACAUCCAGGACAUCGCUUCCUUCGCUCGGCACGCCGGCCAUCUGGCCCAUGCCGUCACG